rnacentral:rRNA from 1 species
GAUGAACGCUGGCGGCGUGCCUAAUACAUGCAAGUCGAGCGAACAGACGAGGAGCUUGCUCCUCUGACGUUAGCGGCGGACGGGUGAGUAACACGUGGAUAACCUACCUAUCAGACUGGGAUAACUUCGGGAAACCGGAGCUAAUACCGGAUAAUAUAUUGAACCGCAUGGUUCAAUAGUGAAAGACGGUUUUGCUGUCACUUAUAGAUGGAUCCGCGCCGCAUUAGCUAGUUGGUAAGGUAACGGCUUACCAAGGCAACGAUGCGUAGCCGACCUGAGAGGGUGAUCGGCCACACUGGAGCGGAGACACGGUCCAGACUCCUACGGGAGGCAGCAGUAGGGAAUCUGCCGCAAUGGGCGAAAGCCUUACGGAGCAGCGCCGCGUGAGUUAUGAAGGUCUUCGGAUCGUAAAACUCUGUUAUUAGGUAAGAACAAAUGUGUAAGUAACUAUGCACGUCUUGACGGUACCUAGUCAGAAAGCCACGGCUAACUACGUG